CAUAAAAGAGGGAUGCAACAC
rnacentral:siRNA from 1 species